CCCCCCCUCAUUUUCUUCUCUCUCUCUCUCUCUCGUCCUCCCCCCUCUCUCUUUUCAAGGAUCUUGGUGUUAAUGCUGUAGGUCUUUAGCUUGAAUGCAAAGGCUGUUUUCUGUCAGUUCGGCACACCAGCCUGUGAGAUGCCAUCUCGCUCACAUUCUUCCCAACGCUAGACAGAACUGAGGAAUCUGAGAGGCAUUAUUGGUGCUCCGGCAGCCUGACGCACCCUGUGCACUUGACUCGCUCGAUUUGCAUAUGCAAUGCAGCCAUACUUAAUGAGUGGGCAUCACUGAACUUCAGGGGCCCGCAGAGAGGAUGAAUCUGAAUGGUGCUGUGUGGAAAGAUCAGCACCGAAGAGUCUGUAGUCCUUUCCAGUCAGGACAUGGAUGCUGCUUGUGAAUUUAAAACCAAAGACAAUCAAGAUCUUGGAGAGAAAGAGAAGCUGUUUUUGCAGCACGGGAGUUUAGUUCUCUCCAGCAGUUACACAUUCUCUGGAUAAAUAAAUAAUCACACUAUUUCUGCUGUCAAAGCUGAAAGCAUGCACAGCUGUUUGCCACACGAUACGCCGGGACUACAAGGUAUAACGUUUCUUAAUUAGACUGACCUGGGUUUGCGAAGCAGCAUCAUUAG
rnacentral:lncRNA from 1 species